UACAGAGGGUGCGAGCGUUAAUCGGAGUUACUGGGCGUAAAGAGCGCGCAGGCGGUCGUUCAAGUCGAGUGUGAAAGCCCCCGGCUCAACUGGGGAGGGUCACUCGAUACUGAUCGACUGGAAGGCAGGAGAGGGAAGCGGAAUUCCCGGUGUAGUGGUGAAAUGCGUAGAUAUCGGGAGGAACACCAGUGGCGAAGGCGGCUUCCUGGCCUGUUCUUGACGCUGAGGCGCGAAAGCUAGGGGAGCAAACGGG
rnacentral:rRNA from 1 species